rnacentral:miRNA from 11 species
AUAGAUAUAUGUGUGUAUGUAUAUGUAUGUAUAUAUAUAUAUACACACACACACACACACACACGCACACACACACA